GGGCUCAGGCUUCCAAGCGUGGGGGAUGAUGUUUAAACAACAACAAAAAAAAAAUAAAUUUUUUUUUUCAUUUCAAGGAACACUAUUUAUUUAUUAUUAUUUUGAGGAUUUUGUUUUUGUAAAGGUGACGGGGGAAAGCUUCCCCGAAAGAACAGCAAUCUCUUAGGUCGCAAGACUGGUGAGAGCCGAGGAGAGCUGCUGAGAUUUGAGUUUUGCCUGCGGGCGUGGAGUCCUCCGACACCCCCGUGUGCGUCCUCACGGCCAGAUGCUGCCCGAGUGAGAGGGGCCUGAGUCCCGGAGGGGGGAAAACCCACCCUCUUCUUCCCCCCUCGACUCCUCAGGCCACUGAAGCUCGUCUGUCCCGGGUCCCCGGGAGCCGUUCCGCUCUCCGGAAUCACCGGGGCGGGACCGGGAAGAGAUGGAGAGAGGGGUUUGGGUCGGCGGAGACGAGGCGGGGGCAAAGCCGACGGAGAAAUCCCAGCCGACCCUCGUGUUCUUCUUUUUCUUUCGUUUUUAUAAAGCGCGUCUCCCGGACCGCCCCGCUCCCGGCUCCCGCUCGACCUGCCUCCCUCCGUCCCGGCCCCUCUCCCGCCUCGUCGGUUCUGCGGCGUCCCGAGAGUCCAACUCCCCUCCUUAGCGUUUGCCGGGGGGGACGGUCGGUUCCGACUCCAGAUGAGGUAACCGAGGCACAGAAGACUGCCCCAGAUCACAC